CCUACGGGAGGCAGCAGUGGGGAAUAUUGCGCAAUGGGCGAAAGCCUGACGCAGCGACGCCGCGUGAGGGAUGAAGGUCUUCGGAUCGUAAACCUCUGUCAGCAGGGAAGAACGGUCACUGUGCUAAUCAGCAGUGAAUUGACGGUACCUGCAAAGGAAGCACCGGCUAACUCCGUGCCAGCAGCCGCGGUAAUACGGAGGGUGCGAGCGUUAGUCGGAAUUACUGGGCGUAAAGCGCUCGUAGGCGGUAUGUCAAGUCAAGGGUGAAAUCCCCGCGCUCAACGUGGGAACUGCCUUUGAAACUGGCAAACUGGAGUGUGUGAGAGGAGAGUGGAAUUCCAGGUGUAGGAGUGAAAGCCGUAGAUAUCUGGAGGAACAUCAGUGGCGAAGGCGACUAUCUGGCACAUAACUGACGCUGAGGAGCGAAAGCGUGGGUAGCAAACAGGAUUAGAUACCCGAGUAGUC
rnacentral:rRNA from 1 species